UCCGGUUUGACACCGGCAGUCCCCUUAGAGUCCCCGGCAUAACCCGCUGGUAACUAAGGGCAAAGGUUUCGCUCGUUAAGGGACUUAACCCGACAUCUCACGACACGAGCUGACGACAGCCAUGCAGCACCUGUUCUUGUUCCACGGCUUGCGCCGAGUACUCUACUUUCAUAAAGAUAAUCCAAGAAUGUCAAGCCCAGGUAAGGUUCUUCGCGUUGCUUCGAAUUGAACCACAUGCUCCACCGCUUGUGUGAGCCCCCGUCAAUUCCUUUGAGUUUUAGCCUUGCGACCGUACUUCCCAGGCGGUCCACUUAACACUUUUGCUUCGACCAUGACGGCGUCAAAACCGCCACGAUCUAGUGGACAUCGUUUAGGGCCAGGACUA
rnacentral:misc_RNA from 1 species